AGGAUGUAAUCAUGGCUCAUCGCCAAUAUGAAUCCGGCCGCCGAAGCAUGGCCGGUAACAGCCGCGAUCGUAGGCAUAGGAAGGUUGAAAAGUUCAGAAAUGAGCGAUUUGAGCUUGGAAUCCAUUAACUCUAAGCUGGAUAGAUCGGACGAAGCCAAAUCGAGAUCGUAGCCAUUAGAGAAGAAUUUGCCCUGAGCUGUAGUGAUUAAAACGGAGCUGCCUGUUGCUUCCGCCGUUAUCCGUUCGAGAGCGGAUCUGAUUGAAUCAAUAAGAGAAGGAUUUAGCCUGUGCUCAUCGUCGCCGGUGAGUGUAAGAAUGAAUAAAU
rnacentral:misc_RNA from 1 species